rnacentral:rRNA from 1 species
GAAACGGGUGGUAAUGCCGGAUGCUCCAGUUGAUCGCAUGGUCUUCUGGGAAAGCUUUCGCGGUAUGGGAUGGGGUCGCGUCCUAUCAGCUUGACGGCGGGGUAACGGCCCACCGUGGCUUCGACGGGUAGCCGGCCUGAGAGGGCGACCGGCCACAUUGGGACUGAGAUACGGCCCAGACUCCUACGGGAGGCAGCAGUGGGGAAUAUUGCACAAUGGGCGCAAGCCUGAUGCAGCGACGCCGCGUGAGGGAUGGAGGCCUUCGGGUUGUAAACCUCUUUUAUCGGGGAGCAAGCGAGAGUGAGUUUACCCGUUGAAUAAGCACCGGCUAACUACGUGCCAGCAGCCGCGGUAAUACGUAGGGUGCAAGCGUUAUCCGGAAUUAUUGGGCGUAAAGGGCUCGUAGGCGGUUCGUCGCGUCCGGUGUGAAAGUCCAUCGCUUAACGGUGGAUCCGCGCCGGGUACGGGCGGGCUUGAGUGCGGUAGGGGAGACUGGAAUUCCCGGUGUAACGGUGGAAUGUGUAGAUAUCGG